CUUGCUCUUCAAAUCGAGUGGCGAACGGGUGAGUAACGCGUGAGGAACCUGCCUCAAAGAGGGGGACAACAGUUGGAAACGACUGCUAAUACCGCAUGACACAUAGAGAUCGCAUGAAGCAGUGUGAAAAACUCCGGUGGUACAAGAUGGCCUCGCGUCUGAUUAGCUGGUUGGUGAGGUAACGGCCCACCAAGGCGACGAUCAGUAGCCGGACUGAGAGGUUGGCCGGCCACAUUGGGACUGAGAUACGGCCCAGACUCC
rnacentral:rRNA from 1 species